UACGUAGGUGGCAAGCGUUGUCCGGAAUUAUUGGGCGUAAAGAGCUCGUAGGCGGUCUGUCGCGUCGGCUGUGAAAACCCGGGGCUCAACCCCGGGCCUGCAGUCGAUACGGGCAGACUAGAGUGUGGUAGGGGAGACUGGAAUUCCUGGUGUAGCGGUGGAAUGCGCAGAUAUCAGGAGGAACACCGGUGGCGAAGGCGGGUCUCUGGGCCAUAACUGACGCUGAGGAGCGAAAGCGUGGGGAGCGAACAGG
rnacentral:rRNA from 1 species